UACAGGCAGCGGCGUAAUAGAAAAAUGUAAAUGGAUUUAUUACGAGCCAUUGGAAUUUUUGUUAUGUGGUGCAACUACUUCUGGUGAAACGGAUACUAUGAAUAAAACAGUAGAUGAAAACAAUGCACUUGAAAGUGGUAUGGAGUCAGAGCCAUCUCAAUCACCAAGGCCGAAUGCUACAACAUCUACAUCUUCGAUGAAAAGAAAUAAGACAGAUGAAUCAAAUGAAAUAUUAGAGGUUUUGAAAAGUGCUAAAAAAAAGAUGGAUGAAAAGGAGAAGAAGGAUCCAUUUGAUAUAUAUGGUGAAUAUAUUGCUGCUGAAUUAAGAAGUGUUAAAGAUGACCAAGCCGUGACACAGGCAAAGUACCAUAUUAAUAAUAUACUGUAUGAAUUAAAAAUGGGACGAUAUAAUACAUAUGGAUAUCAAACGGCAUCUUCUCAUCCAUCAUCAACACCAAAUAAUGUUCAGGAAACUGAAAUAAGGGAAAUUGAGAGACACGAAACAAAUAAACUAGAUGCAUUACAAGACGAAACAGAAGAUUCGGCUAUACUAAACUUAGUUAACUAUCUCAGUGAUGAAUCAACGCAAUAGCAUACACUGUUUUUUUUGUGUUUUUUAAUUAAUAAAAUACUUGAUUACACAAAUAGUGUUCUUGUACCUUGACAUAUCCUGCUAGUGAGUUAAUUAGUUCUUGACAUACAUCUGGUAUAAUUUUGCUAAUCAAUUGUUUUGAUACUCUGAAUGUGUAUGAAAGAGAACUGUAUGAAUCUCCGGUUGCAAGAUACCGUAAUGUAAUAGCCAGCCUCGUUUGAGGUGAAACUGGCUGACGAAUAUUUGUUUCCCUUUUGGCUAUUGAUGGACCAAUCAUUUCUAGAAGAUGUUCGAAAUCACUUUUCGACAUUCUCGUAAAGUUACAAAAUGAUCCAUCUGUCAUUCUGAGGUCACUCAUCAAAUUUUCCCUUUGCAAAAGAUAAUUUCGAAUCCACCAUCUUUUUCUCUUUUUUUUAUUAGAGAUUCUAUACAUCUGAUACAGAGAACACAACAACACUACCUCCUCGGGCAACAUUUUAACGCAGACUGGCGUGUGGACAACCUGUAUUGAUUUAAACAUAGUUGCUAGCAACAUUCUCGCCGCUCACCAACAAUGUUUAGCAACUGUUGCUAAACAAAUGUUUACCAUGAAUACGGGGCAUUA